rnacentral:rRNA from 1 species
GGUAGCGAAAUUCCUUGUCGGGUAAGUUCCGACCUGCACGAAUGGCGUAACGAUCUGGAAACUGUCUCCAGCAGAGACUCAGCGAACUUGUAGCACCGGUGAAGAUGCCGGUUACCCGCACUUAGACGGAAAGACCCCGUGCACCUUUACUACAUCUUGACAUUGAGGUUGGCAUUGUGCUGUGCAGGAUAGGAAGGAGACUUUGAAACUGGCUCGUCAGGGUCGGUGGAGUCGUCGUUGAGAUACUUCCCUGCGCAAUGCUGAUCUCUAACUCGCGCCCGUCAUCCGGGUGGAAGACAGUGUCAGGCGGGUAGUUUGACUGGGGCGGUCGCCUCCUAAAGAGUAACGGAGGCGUGCAAAGGUUCCCUCAGGCUGUUUGGAAAUCAGCCGCAGAGCGCAAUGGUAUAAGGGAGCUUAACUGCGAGACACACACGUCGAGCAGAUGCGAAAGCAGGUCAUAGUGAUCCGGUGGUUCCGCAUGGAAGGGCCAUCGCUCAACGGAUAAAAGGUACGCCGGGGAUAACAGGCUGAUCUUGCCCAAGAGUUCAUAUCGACGGCAAGGUUUGGCACCUCGAUGUCGACUCAUCGCAUCCUGGGGCUGAAGCAGGUCCCAAGGGUUCGGCUGUUCGCCGAUCAAUAGCGGUACGUGAGUUGGGUUCAGAACGUCGCGAGACAGUUCGGUCCCUAUCUAGUGUGGGCGUAGGAGAUUUGAGAGGACCUGUCCUUAGUACGAGAGGACCGGGAUGGACUGACCUCUGGUGUUCCAGUUGUGUUUCCAAAUGCAAUGCUGGGUAGCUAUGUCGGGAAGUGAGAAGCGCUGAAAGCAUCUAAGCGCGAAACACCCCUCAAGAUGAGAUCUCCCCACGAGACCCGUCGUAGACCACGACGUUGAUAGGUCGCAUGUGUAAGCGCGGUAACGCGUUGAGCUGAGCGAUACUAAUGGGUCCACUGGCUUGACUUU